GAUAAAACUAUAUUUGUGAAUUAUAGAAACUCUUAAUCUAAACUGGUAAGAAAAAAAUACGGUACACAUUUAAUAAGUUAAUGUUUCUGCAAAAUUUUUGUACACGGUUAAUUCAUAGAAAAUCUGGCGAGUCUACUAUUAGGAAAUAGACUUUCCCAAUAGUUUUGAGGAUGGAAUAUGGCAUGUAUUUAUUAAUUCAAUUUCUUGAGCAGAUGUGUCAUAUACAGGGUGUUCAUUAGUUAGGUGCCUAUAAUCCAGGGUGUGAAUCCUUUCUAGUGAUCUAAAAGAAGAAAAGUUUUUAUCAAUAUGUGUAUGUCCUAAACCAAAAAUAAAAAUAAUAAGUUUUUGUUCAUAUUUUUUUAUCACUCCUAGUUCUUCUUAUGAAAUUUUGUUCACACCUGUUCAUCAUUAAGAAGGCAUUUUUUGGACCAAAUUUGUUCCAAAAUAAAUGGGUAUUUGAAAAAUAAUUUUGAUUUUUGAACAAAAUUUAUACACCAAAAAAUGCUCCUUAAUGAUAAAAAGUUAAGGUUUAUACCACAAAUCAAAUCAAAAUAUGCUUUAUUGUCAUAAGAGAUAAUCUUGUCGACAAAGCUGUAUGGGAAGAAUGGCAUUGCCAUACAUAGGUACAAACAAAAAAAAACACAUAUACAAUACACAAAUCAUACAUAAGUAUAAAAUAGUAACUAAAAUAAUGCUCAAAAAAGAAAAUCUCUUACAGCAAAACUUAAGUACUACAGACACAUUUCUGACAGGGCACAGACAAAUAUUCGUCAGAAAAUAUAAAAUAUAUAAUAUCAUAUGUUAAAAUCUAUCUAAAAAGAAGUCAUUUACUUCAUAGUAGCCUCUUGCAACCAACUAAUUUUUAAUCUUUUUCCUAAAGGCUCUAUUACUUUGCACUUCCUUAAUAUCCGCUGGAAGAUGAUUAAACAUUUUUUUACCAUCAAAUAUAAAUGACCUUUUUAUUAAUGAGUUUGAGGGUACAGGCAAAAUCACAUCAUUAGCCCUUCUGCUGCUAUAAUGGUGCCUACCUCCAACAUGAGAUCUCUGUACUUUUUGAGAAUUAAGCACACCGUUUCCAGUAUAAAUAAAGAAGGCAACGUAAGGAUUUUGUGAGUAAUACAACGUUCUCUACAUGAAUUUCUUAUACCUACUUUGCAAAUAUAUCUGAUAGCCCUCUUUUGCAAGAAUAAAUAAUUGAUUGGUACACGCACGUCAAAAACACAAACCAUACCUCAGAUGUGACUCAAUCAGUGCAAAAUAGGCAUUUCUGGCCAUUCCAAACUCUACUUCUCUUGUUAUGAUUUUAAGGGCAUAACAAUUAGAUGCCAACUUGUUGCACAAUAAUCUGAUAUGACUUUCAAACUUCAAUUUGUUGUCAAGACUUAUUCCCAAGAACUUAUUCUCAUUUAAAUUAUUUAAAUCAAUGUUUCCAAGGCAAACUCUGCUCAAACUGCAUUUAAAGUUCAUGACAUUUGUUUUAAGAACAUUUAAAGUUAGCUGGUGGCAGUCACACCAUUUUUUAAUUUUGGCUAAAUCCCUAUUUACUGUAUUAUUUAGGUUUUCAACACUAACAUCAUGCCAAAGUACCGUCGCAUCAUCUGCAAAUUGAAUAAAUAUACCUUGUACAUCAAGGUUUGCCAUAUCAUUUAUAUAUAUCAGAAACAAAAUGGGACCCAACACUGAUCCCUGUGGGACACCAUGUGAAACGGGCUGCUGUUUUGAGGAGGAACCACCUGAGGAAACACUUUCUAAACCUAUCCUUCAAAUACGAUGCGAACCAUACAGCAGGCCCCCGAAAACCAUAACGCUCAAGCUUCCACAGCAGUAUUCCGUGAUCAACACAAUCAAAGGCCUUGGUCAGAUCACAGAACACUGCCGCAGCCAACCCGCCACUGUUCAGUCCUAAAAAGAGGGACUCUAGGAAUGAGAAAAUAGCGUCAGACGUUCCCUUACCUUCCUGGAAUCCAAGUUGUUCGCUUCCAAUCUUAGAACAUUGAAAGGCUAGAAUUAGUAAACAACAACUUUGUUUGAGUCCAACAUGUGCACAGGGGCAAGAGGGGUGUUUUAUUUACAAACAUAUGUGCCGAUUCUCUGUUGUCAAGUCGACACAAAUUUCCAACGGAGGAAAUUUUUAGCUAUAUUUUAACAAACAUUAUAACGUUAAUUUAACUUAUUUCUGUUAUAUUUUAUAGGAAAAUUUAAAAUAAAAAGUAUAAAUACUACAAUUAACCUAUUUUAAGAAUAAAUAUAAUAUCCUUAAGCAAAAAAAAACAAAAUUAUUAACAUUCUUAUCACUAAAACUGCUUCUAAAAAAUUUGAAGCGACAACACCGGAGCUUAAGCGCCUAAACCAUACGCGUUGUGUCAUCUGUCAAACGGCUUUUUGUUUAUAUUCGGGAUUCGUGUAUUUUCUUAAAUUUUUGGUUUAAAAAGGAAAAAAGGCCACGUUUUAGUGUUUUUUUAAAUUGCUAGGAUGGCAAAAACUUGUGUCGCAUCAUGAUAAAAACGUGAUUCAAGCCGAUCUUUUCACAAGUAAGUACCGAUACUUUCAUAACAUCACAUCAUGGGGUAACCAUCAUCAUAAACGUAGAAUAGGGGAUCUUAUAGAUAUAAACCUAAUAAAAAUUUGAAUGUGAAAGUGUGCGUAAAAUACCAACAUAUUUAUAUUUUUAAAUCUAAAUAUUUUUUUGAACAUAUCAUUGAUUCUUUCAUCUAUUAAUAGGCUAUAAAAGAUAUAAAACUAGAAUUUUGUCCCUGGUUUUAUUACAGGAUUUUAUGUUUUUUUUUGUUGUUUUGGCAGAAAAAAUGCAUAAUACCUAUGUACCUAUCUAUAUAUAGUUUGAUAUCUAUGUAUAAAGUUAAUUUUGUCUUUCUUUAAAAUUUGUUCCAUAAUUUUUUUUUGUUUUACCUUAUUGCAACUUACAAUAAUAUAUAUAGUAAUUGGCACCACAUAUUAAUUUAUUACUGUAAUUUUUUUCUGCUAUUUGAUUAAAUAUCAAAUACUUAUUAUAGAUUGCCCAAUGAUUAUGCCCAAAGGGAAUAAUGGGUUUCAUUAAUGGAAAUCAACAGGACAAGGGAGAUAAUAUUAUCAGUAGACAGACUUUAUUAAAAAAAUCAGCUCUACCUCAAAGGAUUUCUGAUGCACUGGUUAAAAACACAGCAGCCAAUAAUUCAGUUAAUUUACAAGUGAUUUACCCUUCAAAGCUACAGGGGUAGCUUUCCUGAAGAGUGCAAAAACUUCUUUAGCUUUCAAAAUGGUAUAUAGUACAAACAGUGAAGCUAAUAUAGACACAUCUGAUCAUUCAUCAUCAACAAUAACUGCAUCUGAGAAUUAUAGUUCUACAGUAACCGUGGAGUCUCUAUUACUAUUUCUCAUCUAAGCCGUUUUUGUUUAACUGCUACACAUCCCUGCCAAGGAAAAGGGUAAAAUCAAAAUGAUAUCCUGAGGACCUAAGCACUGAUGAUUCCACCGUUUCAAGAGCUUAAUCACUUGUCACCAGAUUAUGGAAAAAAAUUAAAAUUCGAAGAUUGCAACAAGCAAAUUUGCGCCAAAGAAAUUAAAUUAGAUGUCUCAAGUCAUUGUUAAAAUACUUACAUGAAAUAAUAACAUGAUUUUAUGGAAAAGCCCAACAUACUACAUAUUUUAUUUGACUUGUAAAAGCACUUGUUUGUAUAUUACUACUAAUAAACUCUCUAAUCUAAUCUAUUGUACAUAGUCUUUAUUCUUAGCUUUGUUUUUUAGUAUAAAUUAAUAUGAUAUAAUAUUUGGUAUUAGGUAUUAUAUAGGUCACUGUUGUCUCAAAACCAUUGUACAGGCUAAAUACUCAUAAUAAAAAUCUUAUAACCUACAAAAAAAACCUGCAACUCCUUCACAAUUUGAACAUCCUUGUAGUUUUAACUUUUUCCGCUGAAGCAAUAAUGUCCCUUUGGAAAAGUCAGCAGCAUAGAAGUAUAUAUUAUGUGAUGUAAGGAAGUGAUGUAAAACUGAGUUUUGUCCAAUAUAACAAUAACAAUAAAAUUUUGCAAAAUGUUAAAAAUUUGUGUCUUAAAACAUGAUUUAUUAAGAAAUCUAUAAUAUUAUAUUAAUAAAAUAUUUAAUUUCCAUAAAAAUGCUUUGACAAAAAUGCUGCCUUUCAUUAGGACCUUCCUCUAAUGAAGUUCAUUAAAAAAAACACCUAAAUAGCUCAUAAAUGGUAAUAUUACUUAUACUCAAACUCUUUAAUUAUUAAUUAAUAAAAAUUUAUCAGGUAAAUAUUUGUUGACGACGUCACUGGUAAAGAGUGCUUGUAUCUGUGACAUAAACAAUGCGAUCGAGCGGCGUUGCGAUGCCAUUACCGUUUUCUCGUUUCUUCGUACCUUAUUUUCAUUUACUUAACUUAUAUUGACUUCGAUAUAGAGUAUCUUAUCAAAUUUAUUUUUAAAAAAUGCUUGAUAUUUUAUUAAAAGGGGACCAGUGGUAUUGUUUUGUGCCUUCGGAAACAACUGAAAAUUUUGAUGAUAUUAUAAAGUGAUUUUUGCCAUUUCUCUAUAAGCACUUGGCAUCAUUGCAUCAGAGAUGUUGCAAGCAAACAAACCUGCCCAUAGUUCCACGGCAUGCUACUUCUAGCCUUUCAAUGUUCUAAGCUUCCAUUUAUAUUUUUUUGGGUCAAAUAGGACAUCAUGCGGUUCUUUACUAGUCUUUCAAUAAUUUUGGAAAGUGCUGACAGCAGUGCUAUGGGUCUAUAAUUAGAGGGAGACUCUGGAUCACCUCCUUUAAAUAAUGGAAUUACUUUAGCUAUCUUAAAGCUAUCCGGAAAUGUACCUGUGGUAAAAG